GUAAAAUACCUGUUGAGCAGAAGAAAAUGGCGGAGGAAGUGGAAUCAUCAGAAUCAGGAUCCGGCAACUUGUUCAACAAAAUCAUAGCACUUGCCGCCGGCGAAGCUCAUACUCUUGCUCUAACUGCAAAUGGGGAUGUGUAUUCUUGGGGAAGAGGAACAUUCGGUCGACUUGGUACUGCUUCUGAAACUGACCACUUAUUCCCGGCCCGAAUCAACUUUGAUUCUGAUGGAGAUAAAAGGGUAAAGAUUGUUGCUAUUGCAGCUGGUGCUUAUCACAGUCUUGCCGUUUCAGAUGAUGGAUCAGUAUGGGGCUGGGGAUACAAUGUCUAUGGACAACUUGGUUUUGACGGAGAAAAUUCCUUGGUUCCUCAUUUAUUGGAGGGAUUCCUUGAGUUAGGUUCCCCUAAUUCAUCAGCUAGUGGCUCAGAGAGAAAGAAACUGAUGAUUUCCUCGGUUAAAGGUGGUGGAAUGAUGUCAGCAGCAAUUGAUGAUCUUGGAUCUCUAUGGAUGUGGGGUAAUUUUCCUGAACCACAGAAAGGCAAGUCUAUGGAGAGUGAAUUCUCUCUUACUAGCAAUUGCAACCCAAUACCUAUCUGGAAUUUCCAUGGACACACAGUUGUUAAGGUGGCAUGUGGAAAUGAGCAU
rnacentral:misc_RNA from 1 species